rnacentral:rRNA from 1 species
AACGCGAAGAACCUUACCAGGUCUUGACAUACCGGGAUUAUGUCGGUGAAAGCCGAUGGAUUGCCAGCAAUGGUGUAACCGGAACAGGUGCUGCAUGGCUGUCGUCAGCUCGUGCCGCGAGGUGUUAGGUUAAGUCCUUUAACGAGCGAAACCCCUACGCCUAGUUACCAGCGGGUAAAGCCGGGGACUCUAGGCGGACUGCCGCGCAAGCAGGAGGAAGGUGGGGACGACGUCAAGUCAUCAUGGCCUUUAUGACCUGGGCCACACACGUCCUACAAUGGGUUGUACAAAGGGCAGCGAAGUCGCGAGACGGAGCCAAUCCUCGAAAGCAACCCUCAGUUCAGAUUGUGGGCUGCAAUUCGCCCACAUGAAGCUGGAAUCGCUAGUAAUCGCGGAUCAGCCACGCCGCGGUGAAUUUGUUCCUGAGCCUUGUACACACCGGCUAC